rnacentral:rRNA from 1 species
GUGCCAGCCGCCGUGGUAAUACGUAGGGUGCGAGCGUUAAUCGGAAUUACUGGGCGUAAAGCGUGCGCAGGCGGUUUUGUAAGACAGGUGUGAAAUCCCCGGGCUUAACCUGGGAACUGCAUUUGUGACUGCAAGGCUAGAGUACGGCAGAGGGGGGUAGAAUUCCACGUGUAGCAGUGAAAUGCGUAGAGAUGUGGAGGAAUACCGAUGGCGAAGGCAGCCCCCUGGGUCGAUACUGACGCUCAUGCACGAAAGCGUGGGGAGCAAACAGGAUUAGAUACCCUGGUAGUCCACGCUGUAAACGAUGGGUGCCAGAUGUCGGGGGUCUUGGACUUUCGGUGUCGAAGUUAACGCGUUAAGCACCCCGCCUGGGGAGUACGGCCGCAAGGUUAAAACUCAAAUGAAUUGGCGG